GCUGGGCACUGUGGCGCAUGCCUGUAAUCCCAGUGGCUCAGGAGGCUGAGGCAGGAGGAUGAUGAGUUCAAAGACAGUUUUAGCAAUGGGGAGGUGCUAAACAACUCAGUGAGACCCUGUCUCUA
rnacentral:sRNA from 1 species